AUUGCACGCUGGCGGCAGGCCUAACACAUGCAAGUCGAACGAGUGGCGGACGGGUGAGUAAUGUCUGGGAAACUGCCUGAUGGAGGGGGAUAACUACUGGAAACGGUAGCUAAUACCGCAUACAAUCGGAUGUGCCCAGAUGGGCUGAGCUAGUAGGGGGGGUAAAGGCUCACCUAGGCGACGCUCCCUAGCUGGUCUGAGAGGAUGACCAGCCACCCUGGAGCUGAGACACGGUCCAGACGCCUGCGGACGGCAGCAGUGGGAAAUAUGUGACAAUGGGCGCAAUCCUGAUACAGCCAUGCCGCGUGUAUGAAGAAGGCCUUCGGGUUGUAAAGUACUUUCGGCGGGGAGGCGUUACCCGCAGAAAAAGCACCGGCUAACUCCGUGCCAGCAGCCGCGGUAAUUC
rnacentral:rRNA from 1 species